CAAAAGUUUGGUCCUGACUUUAUUGUCAAUUUUAGCUAAAUUUAUACAUGCAAGUCUCCGCAAACCCGUGAGAAUGCCCUAUGUACUCCCACCCAUGGAGUCAAGGAGCUGGCAUCAGGCUCGGCAUUUCAUAUAUUUUAUGAAUUGCCUGCCCACGACGCCUUGCUUAGCCACACCCCCAAGGGUUUUCAGCAGUAGUAAACUUUGAGCCAUGAGCGAAAGCUUGACUCAGCUAUAGCUAAGAGAGUUGGUCAACCUCGUGCCAGCCACCGCGGUUAUACGAGGAACUCAAGUUGAUGAUUAUCGGCAUAAAGCGUGGUUAGAAUAUCUAUAAACUAAAGCCGAAAAUACCCAAAGCAGUCAUACGCAUGGGAAAUAUAAGUCCCCUUACGAAAGUAGCUUUAUGAUAUUUUGAGCCCACGAAAACUGGGGCACAAACUGGGAUUAGAGACCCCACUAUGCCCAGUCUUAAACAAAGACGUUAACACUACCUUUGCGUCCGCCUGGUAACUACGAGCUCACCAAAAUUCAAGCUUAAAAACCAAAGGACUUGGCGGUGCUUCAAACCCCCCUAGAGGAGCCUGUUCUAUAACCGAUAAUCCCCGUUAAACCUCACCCUUCCCAGCCCAAUUCCAGCCUAUAUACCGCCGUCGUCAGCUUACCCCGUGAGAGUCCUCCAAAAAGUAGGCGCAAUUGGUUUAUCCCCAGCAAGUCAGGUCGAGGUGUAGCCUAUGGAAGGGAAAGAAAUGGGCUACAUUCUCUCAAGCAGAGAACACAGAAGAUUGUCCUGAAAAAAGACAUCUGAAGGUGGAUUUAGCAGUAAGGGGGGAGCAGAGUGCCCCCCUGAAGACGGCCCUGAAGCGCGUACACACCGCCCGUCACUCUCCCCAAACACCCUCGUCAUAACCUAAAUAAGACACAAGAAAAGCAAAGGGGAGGCAAGUCGUAACAUGGUAAGUGUACCAGAAGGUGUACUUGGCUAAC
rnacentral:ncRNA from 1 species